rnacentral:SRP_RNA from 1 species
CGUUAGGCUUGACCGGGGAGCUUGGCGUGCCCUUCACCCGCAACCGUCAAUAGCGGGGGUGACUGCAGGGGGCGGCAGAGCUGAAGGUCCAAGCCCGCAGAGUGACUAUGAGAUCUUGUCCUGCAGAGUCGGAGUUUGUGCGCUGAACGACCGGAGGGUCGUAUCGCGCACAUUGAUCGGGGAAACCGGGUCAGGUCCUGACGGGAGCAGCCUUACCUCGUGCUACUGACGUUUGCGGGGUCGCAGGGUUGAGAAGCGAUGCGGUCCACCUGGAUCGGAUGUAAUGUCCACCUCUGUGGCCUAACA